GAUUUGAUCCUGGCUCAAAGCGAACGCUGGCGGCACGCCUAACACAUGCAAGUCGAGCGAGAAAGUGACUUCGGUCGCGAGUAAAGCGGCGAACGGGUGAGUACAACGUGGAUAAUCUACCCCAGGGUCCGGGACAACCCCGAGAAAUCGGGGCUAAUACCGGAUAAGACCACGGUAUCCAAGGAUACAGGGGUAAAAGAUUUAUCGCCUUCGGAUGAGUCCACGCCCCAUCAGGUAGUUGGUAAGGUAAAGGCUUACCAAGCCUAAGACGGGUAGCCGGCCUUAGCGGGUGAACGGCCACAUGGGGACUGAGACACGGCCCUGACUCCUACGGGAGGCAGCAGUGGGGAAUAUUGGGCAAUGGGCGAAAGCCUGACCCAGCGAUGCCGCGUGAGGGAUGAAGGCCUUCGGGUUGUAAACCUCUGUCAGGAGGGACGAUGGGACUUUGUCUUGACGGUACCUCCAGAGGAAGCCCCGGCUAACUCCGUGCCAGCAGCCGCGGUAAUACGGAGGGGGCAAGCGUUGCUCGGAAUUACUGGGCGUAAAGGGUCCGCAGGCUGUCGGGCAAGUUGGAUGUGAAAGCUCAAGGCUUAACCUUGGAAUUGCAUCCAAAACUGCCUGACUAGAGUCCAAGAGAGGUUGGCGGAAUUCCCGGUGUAGCGGUGAAAUGCAUAGAUAUCGGGAGGAACACCAGAGGCGAAGGCGGCCAACUGGCUUGGUACUGACGCUCAGGGACGAAAGCGUGGGUAGCAAACCGGAUUAGAUACCCUGGUAGUC
rnacentral:rRNA from 1 species